AUAAUACUCCCUCCGUCCCAAAAUUCUUGUCUUAAAUUUGUCUAAAUACGGAUGUAUCUAGUUACAUUUUAGUGUUAGAUACAUUCGUAUGACAAAUCUAAGACAAGAAUUUUGGGACAGAGGGAGUACUAG
rfam:Triticum aestivum genome assembly, contig: Triticum_aestivum_CS42_TGACv1_scaffold_222493_3B